GUGCUUGCCUUCGCAGCACAUAUUACCUAACAUUGGAAUGAAACAGAGAAGAUUAGCAGGGCCCUGAACGCCAAAUUGUGAAGUUUCUCAUAUUUCA
rnacentral:snRNA from 1 species